rnacentral:rRNA from 1 species
GACGAACGCUGGCGGCGUGCUUAACACAUGCAAGUCGAACGGAAAGGCCCUGCUUUUGUGGGGUGCUCGAGUGGCGAACGGGUGAGUAACACGUGAGUAACCUGCCCUUGACUUUGGGAUAACUUCAGGAAACUGGGGCUAAUACCGGAUAGGAGCUCCUGCUGCAUGGUGGGGGUUGGAAAGUUUCGGCGGUUGGGGAUGGACUCGCGGCUUAUCAGCUUGUUGGUGGGGUAGUGGCUUACCAAGGCUUUGACGGGUAGCCGGCCUGAGAGGGUGACCGGCCACAUUGGGACUGAGAUACGGCCCAGACUCCUACGGGAGGCAGCAGUGGGGAAUAUUGCACAAUGGGCGGAAGCCUGAUGCAGCAACGCCGCGUGCGGGAUGACGGCCUUCGGGUUGUAAACCGCUUUCGCCUGUGACGAAGCGUGAGUGACGGUAAUGGGUAAAGAAGCACCGGCUAACUACGUGCCAGCAGCCGCGGUGAUACGUAGGGUGCGAGCGUUGUCCGGAUUUAUGGGCGUAAAGGGCUCGUAGGUGGUUGAUCGCGUCGGAAGUGUAAUCUUGGGGCUUAACCCUGAGCGUGCUUUCGAUACGGGUUGACUUGAGGAAGGUAGGGGAGAAUGGAAUUCCUGGUGGAGCGGUGGAAUGCGCAGAUAUCAGGAGGAACACCAGUGGCGAAGGCGGUUCUCUGGGCCUUUCCUGACGCUGAGGAGCGAAAGCGUGGGGAGCGAACAGGCUUAGAUACCCUGGUAGUCCACGCUGUAAACGGUGGGUACUAGGUGUGGGGUCCAUUCCACGGGUUCCGUGCCGUAGCUAACGCUUUAAGUACCCCGCCUGGGGAGUACGGCCGCAAGGCUAAAACUCAAAGGAAUUGACGGGGCCCCGCACAAGCGGCGGAGCAUGCGGAUUAAUUCGAUGCAACGCGUAGAACCUUACCUGGGUUUGACAUGGAUCGGGAGCGCUCAGAGAUGGGUGUGCCUCUUUUGGGGUCGGUUCACAGGUGGUGCAUGGCUGUCGUCAGCUCGUGUCGUGAGAUGUUGGGUUAAGUCCCGCAACGAGCGCAACCCUUGUUCACUGUUGCCAGCACGUUAUGGUGGGGACUCAGUGGAGACCGCCGGGGUCAACUCGGAGGAAGGUGGGGAUGACGUCAAGUCAUCAUGCCCCUUAUGUCCAGGGCUUCACGCAUGCUACAAUGGCUGGUACAGAGAGUGGCGAGCCUGUGAGGGUGAGCGAAUCUCGGAAAGCCGGUCUCAGUUCGGAUUGGGGUCUGCAACUCGACCUCAUGAAGUCGGAGUCGCUAGUAAUCGCAGAUCAGCAACGCUGCGGUGAAUACGUUCCCGGGGCU